AGGUGAACCUGCGGAAGGAUCAUUCAUAAUCAAGUGUUUUUAUGGCACUUUCAAAAAUCCAUAUCCACCUUGUGUGCAAUGUCAUCUCUCUGGGGGCUGCCGGCUGUCAAAAGCCGUGUGGUCACCUUUGGGAUUUAUAUCUACUCAGAACUUUAGUGAUUUUGUCUGAAACAUAUUAUGAAUACUUAAUUCAAAAUACAACUUUCAACAACGGAUCCCUUGGCUCUCG
rnacentral:misc_RNA from 1 species